rnacentral:rRNA from 1 species
CCUACGGGCGGCAGCAGUGGGGAAUAUUGGGCAAUGGGCGCAAGCCUGACCCAGCAACGCCGCGUGAAGGAAGAAGGCUCUCGGGUUGUAAACUUCUUUUAUCAGGGACGAAGCAAGUGACGGUACCUGAUGAAUAAGCCACGGCUAACUACGUGCCAGCAGCCGCGGUAAUACGUAGGUGGCAAGCGUUAUCCGGAUUUACUGGGUGUAAAGGGCGUGUGGGCGGGAAAGCAAGUCAGAUGUGAAAACCAUGGGCUCAACCUGUGGCCUGCAUUUGAAACUGUGUUUCUUGAGUACUGGAGAGGCAGACGGAAUUCGUGGGGGAGCGGUGAAAUGCGUAGAUAUUAGGAGGAACCCCAGUGGCGAAGGCAGUCUGCUGGACAGCAACUGACGCUGAGGCGCGAAAGCGUGGGGAGCAAACAGGAUUAGAUACCCGAGUAGUC